ACCGGUUGGUGAGGUCGGACCGGCCAUCCUGAGCACUUUCGAAUAAACUUGUGGCCCCGAUUUCCGAAACAUCGACUGCAUUAUAUAACUUGAACGUAUAACUGAGACCAAUUUUCUCUUGAGGAAUACGUGACGUUUCUGAUCGACAUUAUUUAAUUAGUACGAAAAAGAAAAGAUAUAUAAAUCGGAUUUUCGUGUUCCACAUGGUGUUAAGGAUUUUGUGUCGUAUAAAGUAGACACAUGUACAUUUGGGACAAUGCAUACACAAAUUAUAAGACCAUACACAUUUUUUUUUGUCACAAAUUCAUUACUAAUACGAAAAGGUCCAAGUUUACCCAUGAAUGAGCUUAAACAGAAAUAGCUCUCAAAGAGGUUUUUGCCAACGCAUUGACUUCUCCGUUGAGAUCUUUGAGAUCACGAUGAAUAUGCGAAAAGGAGAUAUUGUCGAACGCAGAGGAGAUGUUAUGGAUAUCACACACGAUUCCAUGAAUUUCUUUCACCUGCGUGUCCUGAUUGAUUGCUCUGAUGAGCAUUAGGUUGUCGGAAGACAUCCUGAGAUGCUGGAUCUCUAGGGUCGCUGCCUUGAUGAUUGCGAGUCUCAUUGCUAAGGCUUCCGCUAUGAGCGGUGAUUCUAUGAAGCUUUGGGUGCUUGAGCCUUUGAUUGGAGGGUUGAAGACCGCUCCUGUGAAGAUCCAGGCCAGGCCCGCUUGCUUUGAUUGUUUGUUCUAAGCCGCAUCUGUUUUGCAUAUUGUCUCUGAUUUCGUGGUUGUCGCUGCGUCUCUCAUCCUUCUUGCGUGAGGGUUAGCAAGUUUUGUUUCAAAGACCAAGGAGUUACACGCUAACCAGAUUGACCAGCAAACCCAAGGGAGGAUGCUAUUAGAGACUCCAGUUGGAGGGAGACACCGUCUGUCUCUGAAGUAGACUAUGACUUUUUAAAAAUCAUCCUCAGUAGCUAGGACCACUACUCUAUUGAGGAGAAUCAUCUUCCACACCUUAACCGCAAAUGGACAAAUAAAGAAUAUGUGCAUCGACGUUUCCUUAUCUUGGCAUUUAGGGCAUCUUAUCUCAUUUUGGAUUCCUCUCUUUUGCAGGUUCUCACCCAAAGGAAGGACUCCUUGUAUUAUCGACCACAGAAAGACUUUCAUUUUUGGUGAGAACUCACCCCUCCAGACGUCUUUGGUGAGAACUCACCCCUCCAGACGUCUUUCAGCCAAUCAAACUCCGUGCUAGCUUGGGUGAUUGUCCUUGGUAGGCUCCCAACUGCUGAGCAGUAUCCGGAUUUGGUUGUGUAGAUGCCUGACUUGGUUGGUUGCCAAUUAUACACAUCUUGCGCUCCAGUUUGGCUCGGUCUGAGGCACUUGAUCUCAGACGCUAGGAGAGAUAAAAGCUCAUCGAUCCUUUGAGUGUUCCAUUCUAGGGUAUAUAAGCAAAUCUGAAACUCUUAAGUCUAGCGCCGAUUAUUGAUAGGUCCAAACGGUUUGACAUUUUUGUGUAAAGAAAUCCAUGAAUCUUUCCAUACUUUUGUGUCUUGUCCGUUGCCAAUUGCUUUUCCUAGAUGCUGCACUUACCAUGCACAUUCAUAUACUUUGAAAUUGGGUUGUUAAAACUUCAUUAUUUCGUUAUUAACCUUCUCAGCAA